rnacentral:tRNA from 1 species
GGGGUUGUGGCUCAGCGGUAGAGUGCUUGCCUCCAACGUGCGAGACCCUGGGUUCGAUUCUCAGCACCA